rnacentral:lncRNA from 1 species
GUGGGCCGCUUUUGCUCGCGGUCACUUCAUCUUAAGUUGUAUAUAUGUGCAGAGCGCGGCGCGGGUGGUCGCCUCCGCUGCUGCCGCCACCCGCCUGGCCUGCCUUUGACCCCAUGGGUCACAGACAAGGCAGGGUGAUCGCGGCAAGACCCUGAGUGAGACUAGAGGCGUUACCCAGAGGGUGCGAGGUCGAGCACCCUCCCUGUCCCAUCGCAAACCCAAAGAUCCCCGUUCCUGGAGAUUCUGAUUGAGGUCCCAGCCCUACCUGUCCUGAUGCCUGACCAGCAGGAUGCAAGCCCAGGAGGCCAUCCAGGAUACCAGGACUGGGAGAGAAUGUGGGUACGGGGAAUACUCGCCCUGCUUGCAAAAGGUUUUACUAGGGUGGGGAGUUUCUAGAAAGUAGAGGGGCUGUGGGAUCAGUGAUAGUGGUGGGUGGCUUUUUUUGAGGGCAGAAGAUGCUAGAGGAGGUUGAACCUUAUAGGGGAUGAUCUAGGGAAUGGGGGAACUUGGGGAUGCUGGAGUAAGAGGGC